AUUGAACGCUGGCGGCAGGCUUAACACAUGCAAGUCGAGCGGUAGCACAGGGGAGCUUGCUCCCUGGGUGACGAGCGGCGGACGGGUGAGUAAUGUCUGGGAAACUGCCUGAUGGAGGGGGAUAACUACUGGAAACGGUAGCUAAUACCGCAUAACGUCGCAAGACCAAAGAGGGGGACCUUCGGGCCUCUUGCCAUCAGAUGUGCCCAGAUGGGAUUAGCUAGUAGGUGGGGUAAUGGCUCACCUAGGCGACGAUCCCUAGCUGGUCUGAGAGGAUGACCAGCCACACUGGAACUGAGACACGGUCCGGACUCCUACGGGAGGCAGCAGUGGGGAAUAUUGCACAAUGGGCGCAAGCCUGAUGCAGCCAUGCCGCGUGUGUGAAGAAGGCCUUCGGGUUGUAAAGCACUUUCAGCGAGGAGGAAGGUGGUGAGCUUAAUACGUUCAUCAAUUGACGUUACUCGCAGAAGAAGCACCGGCUAACUCCGUG
rnacentral:rRNA from 1 species